CAUGCAAGUCGAACGGUAACAUUUCUAGCUUGCUAGAAGAUGACGAGUGGCGGACGGGUGAGUAAUGCUUGGGAACUUGCCUUUGCGAGGGGGAUAACAGUUGGAAACGACUGCUAAUACCGCAUAAUGUCUUCGGACCAAACGGGGCUUAGGCUCCGGCGCAAAGAGAGGCCCAAGUGAGAUUAGCUAGUUGGUAAGGUAACGGCUUACCAAGGCGACGAUCUCUAGCUGUUCUGAGAGGAAGAUCAGCCACACUGGGACUGAGACACGGCCCAGACUCCUACGGGAGGCAGCAGUGGGGAAUAUUGCACAAUGGGGGAAACCCUGAUGCAGCCAUGCCGCGUGUGUGAGGAAGGCCUUCGGGUUGUAAAGCACUUUCAGUUGUGAGGAAAGGUUAGUAGUUAAUACCUGCUAGCCGUGACGUUAACAACAGAAGAAGCACCGGCUAACUCCGUGCCAGCAGCCGCGGUAAUACGGAGGGUGCGAGCGUUAAUCGGAAUUACUGGGCGUAAAGCGCACGCAGGCGGUUCGUUAAGCUAGAUGUGAAAGCCCCGGGCUCAACCUGGGAUGGUCAUUUAGAACUGGCAGACUAGAGUCUUGGAGAGGGGAGUGGAAUUCCAGGUGUAGCGGUGAAAUGCGUAGAUAUCUGGAGGAACAUCAGUGGCGAAGGCGACUCCCUGGCCAAAGACUGACGCUCAUGUGCGAAAGUGUGGGUAGCGAACAGGAUUAGAUACCCUGGUAGUCCACACCGUAAACGCUGUCUACUAGCUGUGUGUGCCUUUAAGGCGUGCGUAGCGAAGCUAACGCGCUAAGUAGACCGCCUGGGGAGUACGGCCGCAAGGUUAAAACUCAAAUGAAUUGACGGGGGCCCGCACAAGCGGUGAGCAUGUGGUUUAAUUCGAUGCAACGCGGAGAACCUUACCUACACUUGACAUGCUGAGAGGUACUAGAGAUAGUUUCGUGCCUUCGGGACUCAGACACAGGUGCUGCAUGGCUGUCGUCAGCUCGGUGUCGUGAGAUGGUGGGAUAGGUCCCGCACGAGGCGCACCCUUGGUCUAGUGGCAGCUAGGUGGGCACUCUAGGAGACUGGCGGUGACAACCGGAGGAGGUGGGGGACGACGUCAAGUC
rnacentral:rRNA from 1 species